rnacentral:rRNA from 1 species
ACGAACGCUGGCGGCGUGCCUAAUACAUGCAAGUAGAACGCACAGUUUAUACCGUAGCUUGCUACACCAUAGACUGUGAGUUGCGAACGGGUGAGUAACGCGUAGGUAACCUGCCUGGUAGCGGGGGAUAACUAUUGGAAACGAUAGCUAAUACCGCAUAAUAUUGAUUAUUGCAUGAUAAUUGAUUGAAAGAUGCUAUUGCAUCACUACCAGAUGGACCUGCGUUGUAUUAGCUAGUAGGUGAGGUAACGGCUCACCUAGGCGACGAUACAUAGCCGACCUGAGAGGGUGAUCGGCCACACUGGGACUGAGACACGGCCCAGACUCCUACGGGAGGCAGCAGUAGGGAAUCUUCGGCAAUGGACGAAAGUCUGACCGAGCAACGCCGCGUGAGUGAAGAAGGGUUUCGGAUCGUAAAGCUCUGUUGUAAGAGAAGAACGGGUGUGAGAGUGGAAAGUUCACACUGUGACGGUAUCUUACCAGAAAGGGACGGCUAACUACGUG